rnacentral:rRNA from 1 species
ACUACGGGUGGCAGCAGUGAGGAAUAUUGGUCAAUGGGCGGAAGCCUGAACCAGCCAAGUAGCGUGCAGGAUGACGGCCCUACGGGUUGUAAACUGCUUUUAUACGGGAAUAACGCGCCUUACGUGUAGGGCUUUGCAUGUACCGUAUGAAUAAGGACCGGCUAAUUCGGUGCCAGCAGCCGCGGUAAUACGGAAGGUCCGGGCGUUAUCCGGAUUUAUUGGGCUUAAAGGGAGCGUAGGCCGCAUGUCAAGCGUGCUGUGACAUGUCCGGGCUGAACCCGGGCCUUGCAGCGAGAACUGGCGUGCUUGAGUCCGCGGAAAGCAGGCGGAAUUCGUCGUGUAGCGGUGAAAUGCUUAGAUAUGACGAAGAACCCCGAUUGCGAAGGCAGCUUGCUGCAGCGGAACUGACGCUGAUGCUCGAAAGCGCGGGUAUCGAACAGGAUUAGAUACCCCAGUAGUC